rnacentral:rRNA from 1 species
AUUGAACGCUGGCGGUAGGCCUAACACAUGCAAGUCGAACGGCAGCACAGUAAGAGCUUGCUCUUACGGGUGGCGAGUGGCGUACGGGUGAGGAAUACAUCGGAAUCUACUUUUUCGUGGGGGAUAACGUAGGGAAACUUACGCUAAUACCGCAUACGACCUACGGGUGAAAGCAGGGGAUCUUCGGACCUUGCGCGAUUGAAUGAGCCGAUGUCGGAUUAGCUAGUUGGCGGGGUAAAGGCCCACCAAGACGACGAUCCGUAGCUGGUCUGAGAGGAUGAUCAGCCAAACUGGAACUGAGACACGGUCAAGACUCCUACGGGAGGCAGCAGUGGGGAAUAUUGGACAAUGGGCGCAAGCCUGAUCCAGCCAUACCGCGUGGGUGAAGAAGGCCUUCGGGUUGUAAAGCCCUUUUGUUGGGAAAGAAAAGCAGCAGGUUAAUACCCCGCUGUUCUGACGGUACCCAAAGAAUAAGCACCGGCUAACUUCGU